UGGAUCACCUCCUAACAGGGAGACAACAAAAUGUUAAAUAUUAAUUUUGUCACCUUAGGUCGAUCGGUAUCUCACAUUCUUAAUUUAUUAAGAAUUUUAUUUCCUAAGUUUUUUCUAGGUCACACCCAUUAUUUCCUGGGCCAUUAGCUCAGGUGGUUAGAGCGCACCCCUGAUAAGGGUGAGGUCCCUGGUUCAAGUCCAGGAUGGCCCAUAUCUCUAUGUUGGGGGUAUAGCUCAGUUGGUAGAGCGCCUGCUUUGCAAGCAGGAUGUCAGCGGUUCGAGUCCGCUUACCUCCACUGAUUACCACCUCUUCCAUAAUCUGUAGAAAGGAAUUAUUUUGAGUUGUGAUCAAAUUCUGAACGAAUCUAGCUUCCUAAUGUAACCAUUAAGAUGCUGGACUCAUUGAAUUAAUUUCAUUGUUUUCAGAGAACCUUGACAACUGCAUAGAUUAUUUUUUUAAAGACAAUAAGCAUCUUUAAUGAUGCAGAUUUAUUAUUUGUGCGAAUGCAUUAAUAACAAUUCUAUUAAGCUGAUGCUUCAAUUUUGAAGUUAUUGGUCAAGCUACAAAGGGCUCACGGAGGAUACCUAGGCACACAGAGGCGAUGAAGG
rnacentral:tRNA from 1 species